CCAGUGGCGGACGGGUGAGUAACGCGUAGAAAUCUGCCUUGAGAUGGGGGAUAACAGUCCGAAAGGAUUGCUAAUACCGCAUAUGUAUGUACUCGGACACGAGUGUAUAUGAAAGGAGUAAUCCGUCUUAAGAUGAGUCUGCGUCCGAUUAGCUAGUUGGUAGGGUAAAAGCCUACCAAGGCGACGAUCGGUAGCUGGUCUGAGAGGAUGAUCAGCCACAAUGGGACUGAGACACGGCCCAU
rnacentral:rRNA from 1 species